GAUGAACGCUAGCGGCAGGCCUAAUACAUGCAAGUCGAACGGAUAUAUGUUUUUCGGAAUAUAUAUUAGUGGCGCACGGGUGAGUAACACGUACAUAACUUGCCCUCAAGCGGGGGAUAGCCUUGGGAAACUGAGAGUAAUACCCCAUAGAAUCAUUGGACGGCAUCGUUUGAUAAUUAAAACUACGGUGUUUGGGGAUAGAUGUGCGUCUGAUUAGCUAGUUGGUGAGGUAACUGCUCACCAAGGCGACGAUCAGUAGGGGGCGUGAGAGCGUGGCCCCCCACACGGGUACUGAGACACGGACCCGACUCCUACGGGAGGCAGCAGUAAGGAAUAUUGGUCAAUGGAGGGAACUCUGAACCAGCCAUGCCGCGUGAAGGAUGACGGCCCUCUGGGUUGUAAACUUCUUUUGGAUGGGGCGAAAAAACGGGNUUUAUCCUGGACUGACGGUACCAUCGGAAUAAGCACCGGCUAACUCCGUG
rnacentral:rRNA from 1 species